rnacentral:rRNA from 1 species
CCUACGGGUGGCAGCAGUGGGGAAUAUUGCACAAUGGGCGAAAGCCUGAUGCAGCAACGCCGCGUGAAGGAAGAAGGGCUUCGGCUCGUAAACUUCUAUCAACAGGGACGAAAGAAAUGACGGUACCUGAAUAAGAAGCCUCGGCUAACUACGUGCCAGCAGCCGCGGUAAUACGGAGGGGGCAAGCGUUAUCCGGAAGUACUCGGUGUAAAGGGUGAGUAGGGGGCAUGGUAAACCAGAUGUGAAAGCCGUGGGGUUAACCCGAGGAUUGCAUUUGGAACUAGCAAGCUAGAGUACAGGAGAGGAAAGCGGAAUUCGUAGUGUAGCGGUGAAAUGCGUAGAUAUUAGGAAGAACACCGGUGGCGAAGGCAGCUUUCUGGACUGAAACUGACGCUGAGGCACGAAAGCGUGGGGAGCGAACAGGAUUAGAUACCCGAGUAGUC